rnacentral:lncRNA from 1 species
UGCAUUGCAAAAUUAAACUGAGUACUGACUUGUCUUGCUUCGAAAUGUUGUGCUGAUGUCUCAUCUCCAUGAAUGAGGAAAUUUGUCACAAUCUGAUUAUUGAAGAGAAGCCUAAAAGAACAAUUGGGAAAUAAUCAGGAGACAAAACUGGGGUAAGAAAAAAUACUUCCUUGCCAACAGAAGCACAAAGCAUUUCAAUAAUACGGAAUGCUGAAAGAUUAAAUGAGAUCUUUGGCAAUUAGACACCUCCAUGCAGUGAAUUCCUCUAUUUGAGUUCUUAAUGCUUAGGAUUAGCAUACCCUUAAGAUUAGGACACGUUUUUAUUUACACACAUUUUUCAAGAACUUUUGCAUUGUUAAAAUAAUGCUUUUUUUUUUUUUUUCCUUUUUUUUUCUUUUUUUCAGCCAUUUUGUCUCAGAGCCUUAAAAAAAGGCUUUCUGGAAAGCCUACAUAGAAAAAACAGUAGGUUUCAUCUCUUUUGUUCUCAUCUGAUCCUAUGGGGUGAUAAUGUGAUGAUUACCUAGAAAUCUUGGUGCCCAUCUGAGAGUGUUUCCAGAUGGAUACAUGGAGGAAGGUCAUCAGUCAACACGCUGCAUGCUGGUCCUUGGUUGAGGAGUGUAAACUUGUCAGCAGCACAGUGGGUCAUAACUUCAAGCAUCAAGAGCAGCAAAAGCCAUCCUGCAGUGAGAAAUUGGCAAUGGAAUUCGCCAUUCCAGAAAAAGAAGCAUCAAUAUAGAGAAAGAAGAAAAAUAUUCUGUGUCAUACUUGGUGAAAUGUGAUGUAGAUAUAAAUUUAGAACAUGUCAAGUCUUCUAAAAAAUUCCAUCUGGCUUAAGGUGACCUCUGUCUCGGGAAGCUGAAUGCACUGCAGAGACCCUCAAAUGGCAUGGGAUGCUGAGGAGAUGUCCACCGGCUGCGAUGUAAACUUGGAGACAUCCUAAGUCUCACAUAGCACUUUGCCUUU